CCUACGGGAGGCAGCAGUGGGGAAUAUUGCACAAUGGGCGCAAGCCUGAUGCAGCCAUGCCGCGUGUGUGAAGAAGGCCUUCGGGUUGUAAAGCACUUUCAGCGGGGAGGAAGGCGGUGAGGUUAAUAACCUCAUCGAUUGACGUUACCCGCAGAAGAAGCACCGGCUAACUCCGUGCCAGCAGCCGCGGUAAUACGGAGGGUGCAAGCGUUAAUCGGAAUUACUGGGCGUAAAGCGCACGCAGGCGGUCUGUCAAGUCGGAUGUGAAAUCCCCGGGCUCAACCUGGGAACUGCAUUCGAAACUGGCAGGCUAGAGUCUUGUAGAGGGGGAUAGAAUUCCAGGUGUAGCGGUGAAAUGCGUAGAGAUCUGGAGGAAUACCGGUGGCGAAGGCGGCCCCCUGGACAAAGACUGACGCUCAGGUGCGAAAGCGUGGGGAGCAAACAGGAUUAGAUACCCUAGUAGUC
rnacentral:rRNA from 1 species